CGCGAGCGCUGGAAUGUUUUCACCGCGGAGCGCGCGCGACGUCGAGAAGAAUGCUUCAGCUACUCCCACUUCCCUCCCGUCCAAUCGACAUCGAGCGGAGCCGUUUCAAGGCGUCCCUCCACCACCACCCCCUCCCGUGAAAGCCCAAACGAUGAAAACAACACAACGGCCGAAAGAAACGCCAUUAACGGCGCCUUUUCUCUGCCCUCGCCCCUUAUCCACUUGCCGUCGCUUUUAGUCACGUCCGACCGGCGGCACGCUCACGCGCUCGACGCGUUUUAUGCGUCCGGGCGGUUUUAUGCGUCGAGCGCGCGGCGGUGUGGAGCUCCGCGGCCCGGCACUGGGGCUGUUUAUGUGUGUAGUAAAAGGGGAGGAGGAGUGUAAGGGGGGGCUUGAAACAGUCCGCCUUGCCCCGUGUCCUCGCUUGUUUUCCUUUUUCUCGCUCGGAUUCUCCAUGUUGGUCGGAGCGCGCGCGCGGUGAAGAGACUCCAGCGCAGAAAUAAAUGCACCCCGCUCGAGCUCGGAACAACGCACAAAAUUCGGAGACGCGCAGCCCGGAGCUCGAUCAGGUGGUGAGAGGAGAAACCUCAGGAACCCCUCCUUGAUGCACCAGAGGACAAGGCGGGAACGCAUGGAACAUUUCCUUGAAUUUGGUGCAGCCCUGAAGCUCAGGAUUCCCAGUGACAAAUUCCUCCUACCAAUGAUGCCCCAUUUAAGGAUAGCAGUACUGCCAGCAAGAUCCCAGAUAGAUGAGACCGGUCAUGAACCUGGAUGAGACGCUAGACUGAAGUUUGCUCAAGUGUUCCAGCUUCUGAUACAAAUGAAACCUGAAUUUAAUUGUAAGGAAGUGGUUUUGAUCUGAAUUCCUUCUUCACAACACUGUUUUUCUAUCCAUCCACUUCCCUGUCUUUCUUUUACUGAUCUAUUUCUUCUGGCAAUAUAUAUAUACACACAGCACAAUGAAUACUAUGUGUUCUAGCAGGGCUGAGAUGUUUUCAGGACCCUUGCCCUGGAUCCUGGAACUAACGAGGAACCUCCUCCUCCACCAGCUGACGUCUAGGUCGGGGGUUUCCACGCGUAACGACGACGUCGAGCGUUUCACUGCAUCGCAUUUAUCUGAGCAGCUGAACUGGUUUGAUGCCCAUAAACUAACUGCCUUUAUUUCAUUAAUAAAAAAUUGUCAAAUAAAAAUAUUCAUAUUAUGACUCCAGUAGUGUAUUAUUAUUAUUAUGUAAUUUUCUAAAAAGAAUAAGAUAAAUUACAAAUAUACUGGAUUGUGGCUGGUGGUUAAAAUACACCACAGUGUAUUAAACUGAAAGCUGAACUCAAGAUCUUUUCUGUUUUUUUCUCACAUCUUGGAAAAGCUGCACAUUUGGACCCACAGAUAUUGUAGCAAGAGAAAUUCUGAUAUCCUGUAUCAUGUUGUUAAAAUAUUCUACAUCACAUAUCUUUUUUGGAAAGUGCUGUAUGCAUAUGCAUGUAUUAAUUCACUUUUAAAAGAAAUCAGGCAUCUCCUCAGGCCUGACAUCAUUGAUAAGAUCUGUAAUGCAGGUGCUACAGUAACACAGCACCAGCUUGUGUAUUUGUGUCGAAUCAGCAAAUCUGUAUUACACGUAUAUCAUAUUCUUUCUCCUUGUACUGUAACUUAUUUUCUAAAGAGUUUGUUUCAUGUUGAAGCACAUUGAAUGGUGAAUAAAUAUGGAAAUAUUGCA